AGUGAACGCUGGCGGUAGGCCUAACACAUGCAAGUCGAACGGCAGCACAGUAAGAGCUUGCUCUUACGGGUGGCGAGUGGCGGACGGGUGAGGAAUACAUCGGAAUCUACUUUUUCGUGGGGGAUAACGUAGGGAAACUUACGCUAAUACCGCAUACGACCUACGGGUGAAAGCAGGGGAUCUUCGGACCUUGCGCGAUUGAAUGAGCCGAUGUCGGAUUAGCUAGUUGGCGGGGUAAAGGCCCACCAAGGCGACGAUCCGUAGCUGGUCUGAGAGGAUGAUCAGCCACACUGGAACUGAGACACGGUCCAGACUCCUACGGGAGGCAGCAGUGGGGAAUAUUGGACAAUGGGCGCAAGCCUGAUCCAGCCAUACCGCGUGGGUGAAGAAGGCCUUCGGGUUGUAAAGCCCUUUUGUUGUGAAAGAAAAGCAGCAGGUUAAUACCCCGCUGUUCUGACGGUACCCAAAGAAUAAGCACCGGCUAACUUCGU
rnacentral:rRNA from 1 species